AAAUUUCUAUCAGCCUCUCCCAACCUGGGUGUCCUUGCCUCUUCCUUACCCCUGUCAAAGUUUAAAGGACUUACCUGAUGUCAGCGUCCUGGACAUCCAGCAGUGUUGCAGCUGUGUCUGUGUUACUUCUGGCUCUGCAACAGAUGUGGAUGGAGAAGCUCCUGCCGUGUAAUGUUGACUUCCAGAUGAUGUUGAUCUUGUCUCAGAAUAUUGCCCAACUGGAGGCCCAGGUGGAAAAGGUUACAAAGGAAAAGAUUUCAGCUAUUAAUCAACUAGAGGAAAUUCAAAGCCAGCUUGCUUCUCGGGAAAUGGAUGUCACAAAGGUGUGUGGAGAAAUGCGCUAUCAGCUGAAUAAAACCAACAUGGAGAAGGAUGAGGCAGAAAAGGAGCACAGAGAGUUCAGAGCAAAAACUAACAGGGAUCUUGAAAUUAAAGAUCAGGAAAUAGAGAAAUUGAGAAUAGAACUGGGUGAAAGCAAACAACACUUGGAACAGGAGCAGCAGAAGGCAGCCCGGGCCAGAGAGGAGUGCCUGAGACUAACAGAACUGCUGGGCGAAUCCGAGCACCAACUGCACCUCACCAGACAGGAAAAAGAUAGCAUUCAGCAGAGCUUUAGCAAGGAAGCAAAGGCCCAAGCCCUUCAGGCCCAGCAAAGAGAGCAGGAGCUGACACAGAAGAUACAGCAAAUGGAGGCCCAGCAUGACAAAACUG
rnacentral:sRNA from 1 species